rnacentral:rRNA from 1 species
UACGUAGGGACCAAGCGUUGUCCGGAAUCAUUGGGCGUAAAGAGCGUGUAGGCGGCCUGUUAAGUCUUGCGUGAAAUCUCGGGGCUCAACCCCGAGCGGUCGUGAGAAACUGGCAGGCUAGAGUGCGGGAGAGGAGAGUGGAAUUCCUGGUGUAGCGGUGAAAUGCGCAGAUAUCAGGAGGAACACCGGUGGCGAAGGCGGCAUCCUGGACCGGCAUUGACGCUGAGGCGCGAAAGCUAGGGUAGCAAACGGG